GCGCUUCACGCUGCUGUUCGUGCAGAACAUCUUGGAGAUUGCAGCCCUGAAGGGCAGCGCCAGCGAGGCGGCGGGGGGCCCUGAGUACCAGCUGCAGGAGAGUGUGGUGGCCGACCAGAUCAGCCUGCUGAGCCGAGAAUGGGGGUGGGUGCCGCCAGGGCUGGGGCAGGGUGGGGCGGGUGGCGGCCUGGGGGCCAGGACCAACCUGCCUCCUCUGAUCUGCCUGCCGCCCCCAGCUUCGCGGAACAGCUGGUGCUGUACCUGAAGGUGGCCGAGCUGCUGUCCUCCGGCCUGCAAACUGCCAUUGACCAGAUCCGGGCCGGCAAGCUCUGCCUGUCGUCCACCGUGAAGCAGGGUGAGGGCUGCGACCGCUCGGCCCACAUGCUGGGUUGGGGAGGAAGCCCACCUUGCAACUGUCUGGGUGACAGGGUGACAGGGAGGCUGCUUGAGUAGGCCCUUGUGCAAAGGUGCGAAGGCCUUGGGGCCUGGCCCAGUGUGCAGAGCACAGAGGCCGUGGGGUCGGAUGGCACCUGGGACAAGGUGCUGAGCACAGAGGCCGUGGGGUCAGAUGGCACCCGGGAGAAGGUGCGGAGCCUGGCCACACACUGAAGGCCACGGGGAGCCAGGGUUGCUGUGGCAGGGAGGGAGGGACGUGCUUGCUCAGUGCACAGGGAAGAUCGUGACCACUCCAGCCCUGCCCCGUGUCUGCUGCACUCUGAGCUGACCACCCUCGUCCUUUGCAGUGGUGCGCAGGCUGAAUGAGCUGUACAAGGCCAGCGUGGUGUCCUGCCAGGGCCUGAGCCUGCGGCUGCAGCGCUUCUUCCUGGACAAGCAGCGGCUCCUGGACCGCAUCCACAGCAUCACCGCCGAGAGGCUCAUCUUCAGCCAUGCUGUGCAGAUGGUGCAGUCGGCUGCCCUGGACGAGAUGUUCCAGCACCGUGAGGGCUGCGUCCCGCGCUACCACAAGGCCCUGCUGCUCCUGGAGGGGCUGCAGCACAUGCUCUCGGACCAGGCCGACAUCGAGAACGUCGCCAAGUGUGAGUGCCAGGCUGGGCUGGGGGCUGGGGGCUCUGGGCGUCUCCCUCACGCUCCCCUCUCCCUCCACAGGCAAGCUGUGCAUUGAGCGGAGACUCUCGGCGCUGCUGACUGGCAUCUGUGCCUGACCUUUCUGGCCUGGCUGGGCCCCUGGUCCUGCCGAGCCCUGCAGAGUGGGCUGUGUGUGCAGGGUGGGCUCUGUGUGCUGGCUGGACUCCUCGGGACAAGCGCAUGGCGCUGAUCGCUGGUGCUGAGCCCUGCCCUGGGCCCCAAGGACAGUCAGCCUGCUGGCCUCCCUGCAGCUCACGGGGCAGAACCAGCACAUCUGGAGCCACACAGCUUGGACAGUCAGCCUGCUGGCCUCCCUGCAGCUCACGGGGCAGAACCAGCACAUCUGGAGCCACACAGCUUGGGGGUGUGUCCCAUCUUUUACAGGUGGGGAUCACAAUUUCUGCCCUCCGGCUGCCUGGCACAGCAGGCAUGGGUGCCACCACCCUCUAGCCCCAGGGCAGCCCCGGAGGACAGGCAAGGGCCUGAGACCGCUGCCGACUCAAAGCCAAAGUGAGCUCCUGCUUAGGACAGGUCAGCAGGCACUGUGCCCAGGAAGAGCCUGCAGCCUCGGCAUCCCCCAGUCUCCAGGAGCCUCUCCCUCCGAGAUACCCACCCAGCUUUGUCAAUCACCCAAGCACUUUAUGCAGAUAGAGACAGAACCUGGACCUCCCCAGGGACUGCUGGGCAGUGAUUCCUGGCAGUGACCCGGUGUUUGUACAUACACAUAUGCGGACACAUGCCAGGGCCCC
rnacentral:sRNA from 1 species